rnacentral:rRNA from 1 species
UGGGGAAUAUUGCACAAUGGGCGCAAGCCUGAUGCAGCCAUGCCGCGUGUAUGAAGAAGGCCUUCGGGUUGUAAAGUACUUUCAGCGGGGAGGAAGGGAGUAAAGUUAAUACCUUUGCUCAUUGACGUUACCCGCAGAAGAAGCACCGGCUAACUCCGCGCCAGCAGCCGCGGUAAUACGGAGGGUGCAAGCGUUAAUCGGAAUUACUGGGCGUAAAGCGCACGCAGGCGGUCUGUCAAGUCGGAUGUGAAAUCCCCGGGCUCAACCUGGGAACUGCAUUCGAAACUGGCAGGCUAGAGACUUGUAGAGGGGGGUAGAAUUCCAGGUGUGGCGGUGAAAUGCGUGGAGAUCUGGAGGAAUACCGGUGGCGAGGGCGGCCCCCUGGACAAAGACUGACGCUCAGGUGCGAGAGAGUGGGGAGCAAACAGG